ACUGGCACAUACAAAGAUCUUUUGUCAGCAGGAUCCAUUGAUCCAACCAAAGUGAAAAUGAUCAUUACUUAAUUACAGAUUGAAGUACUCCGUUCUGCAUGCUAACCGAGUGUUUUUCUUAGGGUUGUGAGAUGUUGCUUGCAGUAUGCUUCAGCCAUAGCUAAAGCAUCUUUGAUGUCCAAGUGUGUUGUUGUCGACAUCAAGGAGCCUGACUCAGCAGCUUCUGCUGCUUUUAGAGCACGUGAUGGUGGACAAAAAGAUUUACAUGAUUUGCAAUGUGUAAUGAUCAACAGAUUUUAGUGACACAGAAAUUGGUGUUGCACAAAAAAGAAAGCAAUUUAUGAUGCGGAAGGCCUGCUCUCAACCCCCAUAUCCAAGAUAUUCAACUCGUGCACUUAAAGAUAAGAGAUCACAUGGUAGUCUUUCAAGCUAGAGAAGGGAAUAGAAUGGCAGACAAAAUUGCAAAGGAAGAUCUCUAUUUU